rnacentral:rRNA from 1 species
AGUGAACGCUGGCGGUAGGCCUAACACAUGCAAGUCGAACGGCAGCACAGUAAGAGCUUGCUCUUACGGGUGGCGAGUGGCGGACGGGUGAGGAAUACAUCGGAAUCUACUUUUUCGUGGGGGAUAACGUAGGGAAACUUACGCUAAUACCUCAUACGACCUACGGGUGAAAGCAGGGGAUCUUCGGACCUUGCGCGAUUGAAUUAGCCGAUGUCGGAUUAGCUAGUUGGCGAGGUAAAGGCCCACCAAGGCGACGAUCCGUAGCUGGUCUGAGAGGAUGAUCAGCCACACUGGAACUGAGACACGGUCCAGACUCCUACGGGAGGCAGCAGUGGGGAAUAUUGGACAAUGGGCGCAAGCCUGAUCCAGCCAUACCGCGUGGGUGAAGAAGGCCUUCGGGUUGUAAAGCCCUUUUGUUGGGAAAGAAAAGCAGCAGGUUAAUACCCCGCUGUUCUGACGGUACCCAAAGAAUAAGCACCGGCUAACUUCGUG